UACGUAGGGCGCGAGCGUUGUCCGGAAUUAUUGGGCGUAAAGAGCUCGUAGGUGGCUUGUUGCGUCUGCCGUGAAAGCCCGUGGCUUAACUACGGGUCUGCGGUGGAUACGGGCAGGCUAGAGGCUGGUAGGGGCAAGCGGAAUUCCUGGUGUAGCGGUGAAAUGCGCAGAUAUCAGGAGGAACACCGGUGGCGAAGGCGGCUUGCUGGGCCAGUUCUGACGCUGAGGAGCGAAAGCGUGGGGAGCGUACAGG
rnacentral:rRNA from 1 species